CCUACGGGUGGCAGCAGUGAGGAAUAUUGGUCAAUGGACGAGAGUCUGAACCAGCCAAGUAGCGUGAAGGAUGACUGCCCUAUGCGUUGUAAACUUCUUUUAUAUGGGAAUAAAAUCUUCCACGUGUGGCUUUCUGUAUGUACCAGAUGAAUAAGGAUCGGCUAACUCCGUGCCAGCAGCCGCGGUAAUACGGAGGAUCCGAGCGUUAUCCGGAUUUAUUAGGUUUAAAGGGGGCGUAGGCGGAUUGUUAAGUCAGUUGUGAAAGCUUGGGGCUCAACCGCAAGAUAGCAGUUGAAACUGGCUGUCUUGAGUAGUGUAGAGGUGUGCGGAAUGCGCAGUGUAGCGGUGAAAUGCUUAGAUAUCACGAAGAACUCCGAUUGCGAAGGCAGUACACUGGAGUGCAACUGACGCUGAGGCUCGAAAGUGUGGGUAUCGAACAGGAUUAGAUACCCCUGUAGUC
rnacentral:rRNA from 1 species